CCGUUUGAAGGCUAUAUGCAUUAUAUGAAACUUUUUUCAACGAUCCAACCGUCAAGCUUAUUUGUACACACUCCGAGAUUCCAUACUAAAAAAUCCUAAAAAACGAACAUUCAGAGAUUACGUAACGGAACAAAAGUUUUCGACGGUUAUAAAUGAAAAAUGACAAUUUAGUUGUUAUUUUAGCUCCGAUUUUAAUGACUUUUUACAGCUACACUCCUUGACCUUAUAAGAAUGCAAUGAAUAAAUUUGAUCUUCAAUUUAAAAUAUUUACACUAGUGGAUACCACAAAAUCUUCUUUUAUACUUAAUGGGCGUAUGACAUUAACUCUUAAGUGUUUAUUUAAUCUACCGUUUUAACGCGAUACACAUUCUACAAAACUUUUGUCAAUGAUCUAACCGUCAAACUUGUUUGU
rnacentral:lncRNA from 1 species